rnacentral:rRNA from 1 species
GAAUUCAACUCCUACGGGAGGCAGCAGUGGGGAAUUUUGGACAAUGGGGGCAACCCUGAUCCAGCAAUGCCGCGUGAGUGAAGAAGGCCUUCGGGUUGUAAAGCUCUUUUGUCAGGGAAGAAGCGGUGAGGGCUAAUAUCCCUUGCUAAUGACGGUACCUGAAGAAUAAGCACCGGCUAACUACGUGCCAGCAGCCGCGGUAAUACGUAGGGUGCAAGCGAUAAUCGGAAUUACUGGGCGUAAAGCGUGCGCAGGCGGUUUUGUAAGUCUGAUGUGAAAUCCCCGGGCUCAACCUGGGAAUUGCAUUGGAGACUGCAAGGCUAGAAUCUGGCAGAGGGGGGUAGAAUUCCACGUGUAGCAGUGAAAUGCGUAGAUAUGUGGAGGAACACCGAUGGCGAAGGCAGCCCCCUGGGUCAAGAUUGACGCUCAUGCACGAAAGCGUGGGGAGCAAACAGGAUUAGAAACCCUAGUAGUCCAGGCGUU